CCUACGGGGAGCAGCAGUGGGGAAUAUUGCACAAUGGGGGAAACCCUGAUGCAGCAACGCCGCGUGAGUGAAGAAGUAUUUCGGUAUGUAAAGCUCUAUCAGCAGGGAAGAGAAUGACGGUACCUGACUAAGAAGCCCCGGCUAACUACGUGCCAGCAGCCGCGGUAAUACGUAGGGGGCAAGCGUUAUCAGGAUUUAUUGGGUUUAAAGGGGGCGUAGGCGGAAUGCCAAGUCAGCGGUAAAAUCGCGGGGCUCAACCUCGCUCCGCCGUUGAAAAUGGCGUUCUUGAGUGGGCGAGAAGUAUGCGGAAUGCGUGGUGUAGCGGUGAAAUGCAUAGAUAUCACGCAGAACUCCGAUUGCGAAGGCAGCAUACCGGCGCCCAACUGACGCUGAAGCACGAAAGCGUGGGUAUCGAACAGGAUUAGAUACCCGAGUAGUC
rnacentral:rRNA from 1 species